UCCUGUUGGACGAGGCAGCAGUAGAGAAUCUUGUGCAAUAUACGAAAGUAUGACACAGAGAGCACACAUUUAACUUAGCCCGUCAAAUUAAGUGCCAGCAGACGCGGUUAGACUUAAGGGUUAAGCCUUUAUAGGUAAAAAGGCGUAAAGGGUGUGUAGGCCUUUUAAGUAGGGCUAAAGAAGGUAAGUGGAAUUUUUCUGGAGCGGUAAAAUGUGGGGAUAGAAAAUAGAACCCCAAAGGCUAAAGCAACUUACCUCUGCCUGGAUGAAAUAAGCUGAAACACGAAAGUGUGGGGAGCAAACAGGAUUAGAGACCCUGGUAGUCCACACUGUAAACGAUGAAGAUAAUGUUAGGCAACCCCGAAAGGUAAUAAAUCUUCCGCCUGAGUAGUACGAUCGCAAGAUUAAAAUUCAAAAAAUUUGGCUGUUCACUGUUUCGAUUAGAGGAGCGUGUAGUUUAAUUCGAUAAUCCGCGAGACACCUUACCCAAACUUGAAUCAAUUGACAGGUAUUGCAUGGCCGUCGUCAGUUCGUGUGUGAAACGGACCCAACCCGGGGUUUAGUCUCGGAUGAAGUCAGGUCUUAUGAUCCUAAUGUUUGGGGAUUAUAUGCGCUACAUUUUCUUAUACAAUGGGAGACCUUGAAGGUGAAACCCCAAAGUAAGAGUUCGGAAGGUAACUGAAAUAUGACCGAAAGUUGGAUUUAAUAGUAAUCGGAAAGUAGAGCGUUCCGGUGAAUUGGUCCAAGUGUUAGCACAAAUCGCCCGUCACCUUUACCUAGGACGAUAGUUCGAAAGCCGCCUAUAAACGGUGGUUACGAAUAUCUACGAGGUUAAGCAA
rnacentral:rRNA from 1 species